UGAACGCUAGCUACAGGCUUAACACAUGCAAGUCGAGGGGAAACGAUAUUGGAAGCUUGCUUCCGAUAGACGUCGACCGGCGCACGGGUGAGUAACGCGUAUCCAACCUGCCCAUCACUUGGGGAUAACCUUGCGAAAGUAAGACUAAUACCCAAUGAUAUCUCUAGAAGACAUCUGAAAGAGAUUAAAGAUUUAUCGGUGAUGGAUGGGGAUGCGUCUGAUUAGCUUGUUGGCGGGGUAACGGCCCACCAAGGCGACGAUCAGUAGGGGUUCUGAGAGGAAGGUCCCCCACAUUGGAACUGAGACACGGUCCAAACUCCUACGGGAGGCAGCAGUGAGGAAUAUUGGUCAAUGGGCGAGAGCCUGAACCAGCCAAGUAGCGUGCAGGAUGGCGGCCCUAUGGGUUGUAAACUGCUUUUAUAAGGGAAUAAAGUGAGCCUCGUGAGGCUUUUUGCAUGUACCUUAUGAAUAAGGACCGGCUAAUUCCGUGCCAGCAGCCGCGGUAAUACGGAAGGUCCGGGCGUUAUCCGGAUUUAUUGGGUUUAAAGGGAGCGUAGGCCGGAGAUUAAGCGUGUUGUGAAAUGUAGAUGCUCAACAUCUGCACUGCAGCGCGAACUGGUUUCCUUGAGUACGCACAAAGUGGGCGGAAUUCGUGGUGUAGCGGUGAAAUGCUUAGAUAUCACGAAGAACUCCGAUUGCGAAGGCAGCUCACUGGAGCGCAACUGACGCUGAAGCUCGAAAGUGCGGGUAUCGAACAGGAUUAGAUACCCUGGUAGUCCGCACGGUAAACGAUGGAUGCCCGCUGUUGGUCUGAAUAGGUCAGCGGCCAAGCGAAAGCAUUAAGCAUCCCACCUGGGGAGUACGCCGGCAACGGUGCAACUCAAAUGAAUUGACGG
rnacentral:rRNA from 1 species